GGAAUAUUGGACAAUGGGCGCAAGCCUGAUCCAGCCAUGCCGCGUGAGUGAUGAAGGCCUUAGGGUUGUAAAGCUCUUUCAGUGGGGAAGAUAAUGACGGUACCCACAGAAGAAGCCCCGGCUAACUUCGUGCCAGCAGCCGCGGUAAUACGAAGGGGGCUAGCGUUGUUCGGAUUUACUGGGCGUAAAGCGCACGUAGGCGGUUUGUUAAGUCAGAGGUGAAAUCCCACAGCUCAACUGUGGAACUGCCUUUGAUACUGGCAAGCUAGAGUCCGGAAGAGGUAAGUGGAACUCCUAGUGUAGAGGUGGAAUUCGUAGAUAUUAGGAAGAACACCAGUGGCGAAGGCGGCUUCCUGGACCGACACUGACGCUGAGGCGCGAAAGCUAGGGGAGCAA
rnacentral:rRNA from 1 species